UGCACAUGCUCCAUGAUGAGCU
rnacentral:siRNA from 1 species